GUCUACAGCCAUACCACCCUGAACGCGCCCGAUCUCGUUUGAUCUCGGAAGCUAAGCAGGGUCGGGCCUGGUUAGUACUUGGAUGGGAGAAGUGACGCUUGGGCUCUUUAAGUC
rnacentral:rRNA from 1 species